CACGUAGGGCGCGAGCGUUGUCCGGAAUUAUUGGGCGUAAAGCGCUCGUAGGCGGCCUGUUGCGUCCGCUGUGAAAGCCCGGGGCUUAACCCCGGGUCGGCAGUGGAUACGGGCAGGCUAGAGGUAGGUAGGGGAGAAUGGAAUUCCCGGUGUAGCGGUGAAAUGCGCAGAUAUCGGGAGGAACACCGGUGGCGAAGGCGGUUCUCUGGGCCUUACCUGACGCUGAGGAGCGAAAGCGUGGGGAGCGAACAGG
rnacentral:rRNA from 1 species